rnacentral:rRNA from 1 species
UACGGGGGGGGCAAGCGUUGUUCGGAAUUACUGGGCGUAAAGGGCUCGUAGGCGGCCCUCUCAGUCGGAUGUGAAACCCCCAGGCUUAACCUGGGAACGGCAUCCGAUACUGGAGGGCUUGAAUUCGGGAGAGGGAUGCAGAAUUCCAGGUGUAGCGGUGAAAUGCGUAGAUAUCUGGAGGAAUACCGGUGGCGAAGGCGGCAUCCUGGACCGAGAUUGACGCUGAGGAGCGAAAGCUAGGGGAGCAAACGGG